rnacentral:lncRNA from 1 species
GUGGCAUCUUCUAGGUUGCUUCACUAUAAAAUUUUUAUUUCCUCUUUUGCAAUUAAGAAGGUUUGAGGUUUUCCCUCAUCUCUCCACUUUGGCACUAUAUGUCCCCUUUGGAUCUGAGGUCUUUCUUUCUUUUUAUUCUGGAAAAUGUGUAUGUAUUAUUUCUCUCAAGAGUUUCUCUUUUCUACUUUUAUUUCUUAUAUCCUUUGAUCUCCUCCACAUUGCUGGCUUUGUAGACUCCAGUUGAAGGAUUUUCACUCUUCUACUUCUCUUUUCCAACUCUUCUAGUUUUUUGUUUGUUUGCUGGAAACCUGUGCUCCCCAGCAUAGGUUUGUCCUGGUCUCAGCCUGCUGUUCACUGCCUGUCUGGUCUUUCCUCCUCCUCAGGAGGAAAUGGCAGUUCUAUUUGAAUCUGUGCAAGGCCAAACUCUCCAAGCCUUGACGAAAUCACAGUUAGGAAUUUUACAAACUAGACUUCCAUACACAUGCACCGGGCUUGGAGAGAUCGACAGACUGGGGCUAUUUUGGAUGUCCCACUUAAAGCCGCGGGGGUGCCCUGUGCAGAGAGCUGGCGCCGCUGGUAUCGGGGCUGGGGCGCAGCUGCCGGCGUUUCUCUGGGCAGAACCGCGGAGAGC